rnacentral:rRNA from 1 species
UACGAAGGGGGCUAGCGUUGCUCGGAAUCACUGGGCGUAAAGGGUGCGUAGGCGGCCAACUAAGUCAGACGUGAAAUCCCUCGGCUUAACCGGGGAACUGCGUCUGAUACUGGAUGGCUAGAGGUUGGGAGAGGGAUGCGGAAUUCCAGGUGUAGCGGUGAAAUGCGUAGAUAUCUGGAGGAACACCGGUGGCGAAGGCGGCAUCCUGGACCGGUAUUGACGCUGAGG